rnacentral:misc_RNA from 1 species
CAGAGAUUCCCUGCCCUCUUGGGUAGACCUCCAACCCCUUGCAUAUCAUACCAUUGUUGCUUUGGCAGGCCCGUCUCCGACCGCCGGUGUACUCUGGCCAGCGCCUGCCAGAGGAUCCAACUCUGAAUACAUGUUGUCCGAGCACUAUAAAAAAGUUA